rnacentral:rRNA from 1 species
GACGAACGCUGGCGGCAUGCCUAAUACAUGCAAGUCGAACGAGCUUCCGUUGAAUGACGUGCUUGCACUGAUUUUAACAAUGAAGCGAGUGGCGAACUGGUGAGUAACACGUGGGGGAAUCUGCCCAGAAGCAGGGGAUAACACUUGGAAACAGGUGCUAAUACCGGUAUAACACAAAUCCACAUGGAUUUUGUUUGAAACGGUUGGCUUCGGCUAUCACUUCG